rnacentral:rRNA from 1 species
UACAGAGGUGACUAACGUUGUCCGGAAUCACUGGGCGUAAAGGGCGCGUAGGCGGCUUGAUAAGGUUGCGGUGAAAGCCCGGGGCUCAACCCCGGGUCGGCCGUGGCAACUGUCGAGCUGGAGCACUGUAGAGGCAGGUGGAAUUCCGGGUGUAGCGGUGGAAUGCGUAGAGAUCCGGAAGAACACCGGUGGCGAAGGCGGCCUGCUGGGCAGUGGCUGACGCUGAGGCGCGACAGCGUGGGGAGCAAACAGG